GGCGCGAAAGCGUGGGGAGCAAACAGGAUUAGAUACCCCGGUAGUCCACGCCGUAAACGAUGAGUGUUAUAUGUUAGAGGGUUUCCGCCCUUUAGUGUUGCAGCAAACGCAUUAAGCACUCCGCCUGGGGAGUACGGCCGCAAGGCUGAAACUCAAAGGAAUUGACGGGGGCCCGCACAAGCGGUGGAGCAUGUGGUUUAAUUUGAAGCAACGCGAAGAACCUUACCAGGUCUUGACAUCUCCUGACAACCCUAGAGAUAGGGCGUUCCCCUUCGGGGGACAGGAUGACAGGUGGUGCAUGGUUGUCGUCAGCUCGUGUCGUGAGAUGUUGGGUUAAGUCCCGCAACGAGCGCAACCCUUGAUCUUAGUUGCCAGCAUUCAGUUGGGCACUCUAAGGUGACUGCCGGUGACAAACCGGAGGAAGGUGGGGAUGACGUCAAAUCAUCAUGCCCCUUAUGACCUGGGCUACACACGUGCUACAAUGGAUGGUACAAAGGGCUGCAAGACCGCGAGGUUAAGCGAAUCCCAUAAAACCAUUCUCAGUUCGGAUUGCAGGCUGCAACUCGCCUGCAUGAAGCUGGAAUCGCUAGUAAUCGCGGAUCAGCAUGCCGCGGUGAAUACGUUCCCGGGCCUUGUACACACCGCCCGUCACACCACGAGAGUUUGUAACACCCGAAGUCGGUGGGGUAACCU
rnacentral:rRNA from 1 species